CCUACGGGGGGCAGCAGUGGGGAAUAUUGCACAAUGGGGGGAACCCUGAUGCAGCGACGCCGCGUGAGUGAAGAAGUAUUUCGGUAUGUAAAGCUCUAUCAGCAGGGAAGAAAAUGACGGUACCUGACUAAGAAGCCCCGGCUAACUACGUGCCAGCAGCCGCGGUAAUACGUAGGGGGCAAGCGUUAUCCGGAUUUACUGGGUGUAAAGGGAGCGCAGACGGCUGUGCAAGUCUGGAGUGAAAGGCGGGGGCCCAACCCCCGGACUGCUCUGGAAACUGUAAGGCUGGAGUGCAGGAGAGGUAAGCGGAAUUCCUAGUGUAGCGGUGAAAUGCGUAGAUAUCACGAAGAACUCCGAUUGCGAAGGCAGCUUACUGGACUGUAACUGACACUGAGGCUCGAAAGUGUGGGUAUCAAACAGGAUUAGAUACCCGUGUAGUC
rnacentral:rRNA from 1 species